UCUUUUAUAGGAUAGUUGUAAUCCAUUGGUCUUAGGAGCCAAAAACUUGGUGCAACUCCAAAUAAUUGUU
rnacentral:tRNA from 1 species